rnacentral:rRNA from 1 species
AUUGAACGCUGGCGGCAUGCUUUACACAUGCAAGUCGAACGGUAACAGGUCAAGCUGACGAGUGGCGAACGGGUGAGUAAUGCAUCGGAACGUGCCCGGUCGUGGGGGAUAACGUAGCGAAAGUUACGCUAAUACCGCAUACGAUCUGAGGAUGAAAGCGGGGGACCGUAAGGCCUCGCGCGAUCGGAGCGGCCGAUGUCAGAUUAGGUAGUUGGCGGGGUAAAGGCCUACCAAGCCGACGAUCUGUAGCUGGUCUGAGAGGACGACCAGCCACACUGGGACUGAGACACGGCCCAGACGCCUACGGGAGGCAGCAGUGGGGAAUUUUGGACAAUGGGCGCAAGCCUGAUCCAGCAAUGCCGCGUGCAGGAAGAAGGCCUUCGGGUUGUAAACUGCUUUUGUACGGAGCGAAAAGGCUCCCUCUAAUACGGGGGGUUGAUGACGGUACCGUAAGAAUAAGCACCGGCUAACUACGUGCCAGCCGCCGCCGUAAAAC